rnacentral:rRNA from 1 species
GAUGAACGCUAGCGGGAGGCCUAACACAUGCAAGCCGAGCGGUAGAGAUCUUUCGGGAUCUUGAGAGCGGCGUACGGGUGCGGAACACGUGUGCAACCUGCCUUUAUCUGGGGGAUAGCCUUUCGAAAGGAAGAUUAAUACCCCAUAAUAUACUGAAUGGCAUCAUUCGGUAUUGAAAACUCCGGUGGAUAGAGAUGGGCACGCGCAAGAUUAGAUAGUUGGUGAGGUAACGGCUCACCAAGUCUACGAUCUUUAGGGGGCCUGAGAGGGUGAUCCCCCACACUGGUACUGAGACACGGACCAGACUCCUACGGGAGGCAGCAGUGAGGAAUAUUGGACAAUGGGUGAGAGCCUGAUCCAGCCAUCCCGCGUGAAGGACGACGGCCCUAUGGGUUGUAAACUUCUUUUGUAUAGGGAUAAACCUACCCUCGUGAGGGUAGCUGAAGGUACUAUACGAAUAAGCACCGGCUAACUCCGUGCCAGCAGCCGCGGUAAUACGGAGGGUGCAAGCGUUAUCCGGAUUUAUUGGGUUUAAAGGGUCCGUANGCGGAUCUGUAAGUCAGUGGUGAAAUCUCACAGCUUAACUGUGAAACUGCCAUUGAUACUGCNG